rnacentral:lncRNA from 1 species
GUUUCUCCGUGGGCUUGUCUAUUUGCGGUCUUGAAGCUUCAUCAGGCACUGUGGGUAGUCUAGGUACAAACAACAUCAGCUAGGUAGUGGAAGGAACCAAUCUGGCAUGCACGCCUACUUAUGUGCUAUAGAAGAUGAGUCCAUGACGCUGCAUUGAUUUGUCCAUGAACUGCAAAAUGGGUACAAGAAAUGAAGGAGAUCAAUACUUGGCGAACAAGUAGGCCGAUAACAAUCAGAAUUCAGAACAUCCAACCACGUAUAUCUAAGCAUUCCAACAAGGAGUAACUAAUGGAACUUAUCAUGCUUUGCUUGAAAGUAUACACUAAAAGUAACUUCUGAGAUGCUUCACUCAGUUGAUCAGCUACAAGAAACCAAAAGUAAUACACAACAACCUCUAAUAUUUUCAUUUUUAGGGGAGUAACAUCUAAACACUAGGAAGUGCAUAAACCAGAAAAAUUUGUCAGCCACAAGUGUUUUUGUGUUCCCCUACAUACACACAACAAUCAUCAUCUUCCAUAUACAUGGACUUCAUUUUUCUGACAACAUGAACUUUGUUGUUGUUGCUGUAUAUGAACUUCUCCUGUAAACAAAGAGAGAGAAUGCACUAAGCCAAGGUAGAAUCUUACAAAGAAAACACACUUUUUUGUUCGAGGCAUAUACACAAACAGCUUGUGUGCACUGCCAGUUGAAGGAGAGGGCAGCUCAAUGCGGAGGCUAUGGAGUGCGGGGGCAGAGUCGAAGGCAGCAGCAGCAUGGAGGAAGAGGGCAG